AGCCGCGUGGCGCAAUGGGUAACGGGCCUGCCUCCGGGGCAGAAGAUUUCAGGUUCGAAUCCUGCCGUGGUCG
rfam:Angiostrongylus cantonensis strain Taiwan genome assembly, scaffold: ACAC_contig0012751